CACUUGUUGUAAUCAUCAACAAUAACCAAUCCAUACUUCUUCCCAUUGAUUGAAGCAGUCUCAACAGGAUCAAAUAAAUCAAUGUGAAAUAGUUCUAAAGGCCUAGAGGCUAAGACAAUGUUUUUGGAUUUGAAAGAAGUUUUUUUAAUCUUUCCUACUUGACAUGCCCCACAGAGAGCGUCUGGGUGAUAAUCAAGAUCUGGAAUCCCUUUAUUAAUUUUUAGCUUACUAAGUUUAGAGAUCAACCUCCAGUUAGCAUGACCUAACCUCUUAUGCCAGACCCA
rnacentral:lncRNA from 1 species